CAUGCGGCGGGAGGGAGUGCGGCCAAGCUCCUCCCCGCCGCCGCCGCCCCUCGCCGCGCCGCGGGGACGUGCAGUCGCUCGGCGGGACAUGGAGGCGGGCGGCGCGGCCGGGGCCCGGCGCCCCGCGCUGCUGCUGCUCCUGCUGGCGGCGGCGCUGGGAGGCGAAGCGGAGGCGGAGGAGCCGCGCCCGGCGCGGCAGCGCGGGGACGAGCAGUGCCAUUACUACGCGGGCGGGCAGGUGUACCCCGGGGAGGCGGCCCGGCUGCCCGUCUCCGACCACUCGCUGCACCUCAGCCAGGCCAAGAUCUCCAAGCCAGCGCCUUACUGGGAGGGAACAGCAGUCAUUAAUGGAGAGUUUAAAGAGCUGAAGCUAACAGAUUAUGAAGGAAAAUAUCUUGUCUUCUUCUUUUAUCCUCUUGACUUUACAUUUGUCUGUCCAACUGAGAUAAUUGCCUUCAGUGACCGAAUUGAAGAAUUCAGAGCAAUAAAUACUGAAGUAGUAGCAUGUUCUGUGGACUCAAAAUUCACUCACUUAGCAUGGAUUAAUACUCCUCGUAAACAAGGAGGACUUGGACCAAUGAAGAUUCCCCUUCUUUCUGAUCUGACACACCAGAUUUCAAAGGAUUAUGGAGUGUAUCUGGAAGAUCAAGGACAUACACUUAGAGGCCUUUUCAUUAUUGACAAUAAGAGAAUCCUUCGACAGAUCACAAUGAAUGACCUUCCUGUUGGGAGAUCCGUGGAUGAAACACUUCGUUUAGUACAAGCAUUCCAGUACACAGACAAACAUGGAGAAGCUUUUAUGUGAAUGUUGAGGAGAGCUUCUGUAGACACCUCCUUGGUUUCCUUGCACAGAAUAACAGUUCUCCACGAUUCCUACUAGCAUGUGGGGUAUUUUUUCUGCCAGCCUGUCUUAAAGCAGUGUAAUGUGACAUAACUGCUUGGGCUGAAGCCUCAGAGGGAGAGCUCUGAAUAGAUGAGCGCUUUACUCCAGAAUAUGCAGCUGCUCAGAUGGUCCCAGCCACACUGUGUUUGCCCUGCUGGUUGGAAACCUGGCAGUGAAACAAUCAAACCAGAGGAAGCCAUGAGAGUGUGGUGGCCAAGGGAAGAACUAUAAUUCCAGAUCCAGCUGGAAAACUGAAGUAUUUUGAUAAACUAAACUGAGGCUCGCUUCUGUUGAAUUCAAUAGGUCACAUUCAACUUGAUUUUUGCCAAUAAAAUUUCAUUAAUUUUGGUA